rnacentral:lncRNA from 1 species
GAAAUUCUUCCUCUUGAGUUUAGUAUUCUAAAUAGGUCUUCAUGUGGUAAAAUCACAACUUAUCAAGAGGAGUAUUAUUCAAAGCCUCUUUAGGUUGGAAGAAGUAUUGUCACGGCAUUUAUUAGGAUCCAUCAACUUGUCACGUAAAUUGAGUAUUUUAAUCCCUCAUCAUGUAAAUAAACAAAGAACUUCAAAGGCAAAAGGAAUGGUCCAGAUCAUUCUAAAAGAAGCAAAGGACUCAUCUAGUAUUAUUCAAUGACAUUAUCAAUUAGUGGCAAAGUUUUCAAAUUUGAUCAAAGCUUCUCAAUGACGAACUUGAUGCGCUGACACUCUUCAAACAACGGCUCUCUUAUUUCUCUCCUAUAUAAGGACAUGAGAAGUUUGAAGAACUUAUGAGACUUCACAUAUUUUACAAGUGUCAAAACUCUGUCAAAUUUAAAAGUGCACAAACACUUAGAAAAUUCUUACAAACUUUAUAUCUUAGAAUUUCUUAG